AAAGCGCAUGCAGGUGGUUUGUUAAGUCAGAUGUGAAAGCCCGGGGCUCAACCUCGGAAUUGCAUUUGAAACUAGGCAAACUAGAGUACUGUAGAGGGGGUAGAAUUUCAGGUGUAGCGGUGAAAUAGCGUAGAGAUCUGAAGGAAUACCGGUGGCGAAGGCGGCCCCCUGGACAGAUACUGACACUCAGAUGCGAAAGCGUGGGGAGCAAACAGGAUUAGAUACCCUGGUAG
rnacentral:rRNA from 1 species